AUGGACAUAGCAACUGGAGAAAAUGCUGAAGGCUUUGGUGAGGCAGUGGGAAACUUGGAAAAUGAAAUUGCUAUAGAAGAAGAGGAACACGAGGAAGAGGACUUGAUCUCAAAAGGGACAGCUAGACGGUCUGUCGAUACUCACUUUAUGGAUGGAACUAGUUCCAAGAGGCAGGGGAAAGAACCAAGGCCAAAGAGGGUGACGAGACCAAGUGAUCCCUUUGCAGUGAUGCUUCAAGAUGUCAAUAGCCAGCUCAACAAUGUGACACAAUAUGUGGGUACAAUGGCAGCAUCAUUGUCAGCAUCAAUGGCACGAGAAGCAGCGCAAGACUAUCCUGAGCAGAAAUCAAAAGAGAAGGCUAUUAGUGAAUUGGCUAGGCUUAGCUUUACCGGGAGCGAGAUCGUUGAGGCUGCAACCGUAUUUGCUAAAGCUCCAGAUCAGAUGAACAUGAUGCUUGCGCUUCCAGAAAAUCUGAGGAGGGAGUAUGUCCUAAAAAUGCUCUUUGAUGAAAAAAGAAGCACGGUUGAUUAG
rnacentral:rRNA from 1 species